rnacentral:rRNA from 1 species
UGGAGUAUGUGGUUUAAUUCGAUGCAACGCGAAGAACCUUACCUGGUCUUGACAUCCCGGGAAUUUUCUGGAAACAGAAAAGUGCUUCUUUAUAGAAGAGCCUGGAGACAGGUGCUGCAUGGCUGUCGUCAGCUCGUGUCGUGAGAUGUUGGGUUAAGUCCCGUAACGAGCGCAACCCACGCCUUUAGUUGCCAUCAUUUAGUUGGGCACUCUAGAGGGACAGCCCCGGUUAACGGGGAGGAAGGUGUGGAUGACGUCAAGUCCUCAUGGCCCUUAUGGCCAGGGCUACACACGUACUACAAUGGGCGGUACAAAGGGUAGCUACACCGCGAGGUGGAGCUAAUCCUCCAAAACCGUUCUCAGUCCGGAUCGGAGUCUGCAACCCGACUCCGUGAAGUUGGAAUCGCUAGUAAUCGUGGAUCAGCAAGCCACGGUAAAUACGUUCCCGGGCCUUGUACACACCGCCCGUCAC